GGCGGGACACGUGGUAUCCUGUCUGAAUAUGGGGGGACCAUCCUCCAAGGCUAAAUACUCCUGACUGACCGAUAGUGAACCAGUACCGUGAGGGAAAGGCGAAAAGAACCCCGGCGAGGGGAGUGAAAAAGAACCUGAAACCGUGUACGUACAAGCAGUGGGAGCACCCUUUGGGGUGUGACUGCGUACCUUUUGUAUAAUGGGUCAGCGACUUAUAUUCUGUAGCAAGGUUAACCGAAUAGGGGAGCCGGAGGGAAACCGAGUCUUAAUUGGGCGUUAAGUUGCAGGGUAUAGACCCGAAACCCGGUGAUCUAGCCAUGGGCAGGUUGAAGGUUGGGUAACACUAACUGGAGGACCGAACCGACUAAUGUUGAAAAAUUAGCGGAUGACCUGUGGCUGGGGGUGAAAGGCCAAUCAAACCGGGAGAUAGCUGGUUCUCCCCGAAAGCUAUUUAGGUAGCGCCUCGUGAAUUCAUCUCCGGGGGUAGAGCACUGUUUCGGCUAGGGGGCCAUCCCGGCUUACCAACCCGAUGCAAACUGCGAAUACCGGAGAAUGUUAUCACGGGAGACACACGGCGGGUGCUAACGUCCGUCGUGAAGAGGGAAACAACCCAGACCGCCAGCUAAGGUCCCAAAGUCAUGGUUAAGUGGGAAACGAUGUGGGAAGGCCCAGACAGCCAGGAUGUUGGCUUAGAAGCAGCCAUCAUUUAAAGAAAGCGUAAUAGCUCACUGGUCGAGUCGGCCUGCGCGGAAGAUGUAACGGGGCUAAACCAUGCACCGAAGCUGCGGCAGCGAACGUAUCACUUAAAGCGAUUCAGCGGGUUACGAUUGACGGAGCGAAGCGACGUCAAAGCGUAUACAAAGUCGAGUCGGUUUA
rnacentral:rRNA from 1 species